rnacentral:rRNA from 1 species
GGUUAAGCGACUAAGCGUACACGGUGGAUGCCCUGGCAGUCAGAGGCGAUGAAGGACGUGCUAAUCUGCGAUAAGCGUCGGUGAGGUGAUAUGAACCGUUAUAACCGGCGAUUUCCGAAUGGGGAAACCCAGUGUGUUUCGACACACUAUCAUUAACUGAAUCCAUAGGUUAAUGAGGCGAACCGGGGGAACUGAAACAUCUAAGUACCCCGAGGAAAAGAAAUCAACCGAGAUUCCCCCAGUAGCGGCGAGCGAACGGGGAGGAGCCCAGAGCCUGAAUCAGUGUGUGUGUUAGUGGAAGCGUCUGGAAAGGCGCGCGAUACAGGGUGACAGCCCCGUACACAAAAAUGCACAUAUUGUGAGCUCGAUGAGUAGGGCGGGACACGUGGUAUCCUGUCUGAAUAUGGGGGGACCAUCCUCCAAGGCUAAAUACUCCUGACUGACCGAUAGUGAACCAGUACCGUGAGGGAAAGGCGAAAAGAACCCCGGCGAGGGGAGUGAAAAAGAACCUGAAACCGUGUACGUACAAGCAGUGGGAGCCUCUUAAUGGGGUGACUGCGUACCUUUUGUAUAAUGGGUCAGCGACUUAUAUUCUGUAGCAAGGUUAACCGAAUAGGGGAGCCGAAGGGAAACCGAGUCUUAACUGGGCGUUAAGUUGCAGGGUAUAGACCCGAAACCCGGUGAUCUAGCCAUGGGCAGGUUGAAGGUUGGGUAACACUAACUGGAGGACCGAACCGACUAAUGUUGAAAAAUUAGCGGAUGACUUGUGGCUGGGGGUGAAAGGCCAAUCAAACCGGGAGAUAGCUGGUUCUCCCCGAAAGCUAUUUAGGUAGCGCCUCGUGAAUUCAUCUCCGGGGGUAGAGCACUGUUUCGGCAAGGGGGUCAUCCCGACUUACCAACCCGAUGCAAACUGCGAAUACCGGAGAAUGUUAUCACGGGAGACACACGGCGGGUGCUAACGUCCGUCGUGAAGAGGGAAACAACCCAGACCGCCAGCUAAGGUCCCAAAGUCAUGGUUAAGUGGGAAACGAUGUGGGAAGGCCCAGACAGCCAGGAUGUUGGCUUAGAAGCAGCCAUCAUUUAAAGAAAGCGUAAUAGCUCACUGGUCGAGUCGGCCUGCGCGGAAGAUGUAACGGGGCUAAACCAUGCACCGAAGCUGCGGCAGCGACGCUUAUGCGUUGUUGGGUAGGGGAGCGUUCUGUAAGCCUGUGAAGGUGUGCUGUGAGGCAUGCUGGAGGUAUCAGAAGUGCGAAUGCUGACAUAAGUAACGAUAAAGCGGGUGAAAAGCCCGCUCGCCGGAAGACCAAGGGUUCCUGUCCAACGUUAAUCGGGGCAGGGUGAGUCGACCCCUAAGGCGAGGCCGAAAGGCGUAGUCGAUGGGAAACAGGUUAAUAUUCCUGUACUUGGUGUUACUGCGAAGGGGGGACGGAGAAGGCUAUGUUGGCCGGGCGACGGUUGUCCCGGUUUAAGCGUGUAGGCUGGUUUUCCAGGCAAAUCCGGAAAACCAAGGCUGAGGCGUGAUGACGAGGCACUACGGUGCUGAAGCAACAAAUGCCCUGCUUCCAGGAAAAGCCUCUAAGCAUCAGGUAACAUCAAAUCGUACCCCAAACCGACACAGGUGGUCAGGUAGAGAAUACCAAGGCGCUUGAGAGAACUCGGGUGAAGGAACUAGGCAAAAUGGUGCCGUAACUUCGGGAGAAGGCACGCUGAUAUGUAGGUGAAGCGACUUGCUCGUGGAGCUGAAAUCAGUCGAAGAUACCAGCUGGCUGCAACUGUUUAUUAAAAACACAGCACUGUGCAAACACGAAAGUGGACGUAUACGGUGUGACGCCUGCCCGGUGCCGGAAGGUUAAUUGAUGGGGUUAGCGGUAACGCGAAGCUCUUGAUCGAAGCCCCGGUAAACGGCGGCCGUAACUAUAACGGUCCUAAGGUAGCGAAAUUCCUUGUCGGGUAAGUUCCGACCUGCACGAAUGGCGUAAUGAUGGCCAGGCUGUCUCCACCCGAGACUCAGUGAAAUUGAACUCGCUGUGAAGAUGCAGUGUACCCGCGGCAAGACGGAAAGACCCCGUGAACCUUUACUAUAGCUUGACACUGAACAUUGAGCCUUGAUGUGUAGGAUAGGUGGGAGGCUUUGAAGUGUGGACGCCAGUCUGCAUGGAGCCGACCUUGAAAUACCACCCUUUAAUGUUUGAUGUUCUAACGUGGGCCCCUAAUCGGGGUUGCGGACAGUGUCUGGUGGGUAGUUUGACUGGGGCGGUCUCCUCCUAAAGAGUAACGGAGGAGCACGAAGGUUGGCUAAUCCUGGUCGGACAUCAGGAGGUUAGUGCAAUGGCAUAAGCCAGCUUGACUGCGAGCGUGACGGCGCGAGCAGGUGCGAAAGCAGGUCAUAGUGAUCCGGUGGUUCUGAAUGGAAGGGCCAUCGCUCAACGGAUAAAAGGUACUCCGGGGAUAACAGGCUGAUACCGCCCAAGAGUUCAUAUCGACGGCGGUGUUUGGCACCUCGAUGUCGGCUCAUCACAUCCUGGGGCUGAAGUAGGUCCCAAGGGUAUGGCUGUUCGCCAUUUAAAGUGGUACGCGAGCUGGGUUUAGAACGUCGUGAGACAGUUCGGUCCCUAUCUGCCGUGGGCGCUGGAGAACUGAGGGGGGCUGCUCCUAGUACGAGAGGACCGGAGUGGACGCAUCACUGGUGUUCGGGUUGUCAUGCCAAUGGCACUGCCCGGUAGCUAAAUGCGGAAGAGAUAAGUGCUGAAAGCAUCUAAGCACGAAACUUGCCCCGAGAUGAGUUCUCCCUGAGACUUAGAGUCUCCUGAAGGAACGUUGAAGACGACGACGUUGAUAGGCCGGGUGUGUAAGCGCAGCGAUGCGUUGAGCUAACCGGUACUAAUGAACCGUGAGGCUUAACCUU